CCGGGAGUUAUUUGUGUCAGGCGACCUCACUUCCUUCCUCCCCCCUCUUCCUCUGCCUCAGGGGCUGAGCGUGGACGCGGGAGCGCGGCCAGAGGGUUAUUUUAGUGCUGGCAUCGCUGAUCGCUCCACGGCCCUCCCCACCCACGGGACAAGGCCCUGCAGGAAGUGCCCGGGAAUAGCACUGCGGCCCGAGGAGGAGGAGGAGGAGGGGGAGGAGGAAGGCCCAGCGAGCCUGGAAAACCUACCUCGGAGCAGGACUUUGAUCUCUUGGGCUCCACACAGGAGUGCUCCUGGCGCUGGGAUCUCCAGUGGUGUGGGAAAGGGCACACGGCAUUUAUCGGGCAAACACCUUUUUUACCUCUGCCAGCCCACACGGGCUUCUGCGUGUACACCUGUCCCUCACCCUGCUCCACCCCCGGUGACACCAGGCUUUUCUCCAGGGUUUUGGAGAGGAAAAAAACGAAAGUAUCUCCAAAAUGAUAAGUCCGAGUAGCCAUUACUAUGAAAACUGGAGAAGGAAAUAAUUAAGGAGACUCUGAACUCCUGGUAACAAAGUUUCACCUGGCCUCCUGGCAUUAGUGACAGUGCAGUGCGCUCUCAAAAGUGAAAAUUAAAUGUAUUAAAUUCUGUUACCACCAGAACCAGUUCCUAAUUUUAUUUUCCCUAUGAGUGAACAACUCAGAUGAAAGGAGAAUUCUUCCCUUUCCACCUUCCAAAACAACACAGUGAGUAUUCACCUACAGCUCCCAAGCUUGAAUACACAGCUUUUUGCCUCUGAUAAAUAAUUAACAUUUUCCUUUAGAAGAGAAAAAAUGAACCUGAAAAUGAGGACCAGAGGCAGGGGAGAAGACGUCCCUCAGGCAGCAACAGCCUCAGCACACGUGAUGGCCCUGUCACACCACGGUGCCACAUUUGCUUGAGUGGCCAGGUGGACAUAGGAGCAGGAUGUGCUCCCAACACAUUCCCGACGUGCCAAGCUCCAUCCUGGCUCUUCCCACCAGGCCAGUGCUGACCCCAGAGGCCGAGGAUGCAGAGCCUCAUGCAGAGAGUGGAUGAUUCCAGCUGCGCUCCACUUUGGGAAGCUCACGGACGCCUUUGGGAGCGUCUGUUUGUGUUCCCUGCAUAUCCUACGUGCUACAACUCCAGGGCAUUUGGGACCUGUUCUUCUUGAUCCUGGGAGCCUUCCCGUGGGGGCAGGGACCUGCCUCCACAGUCAGUGCAAAUACAGUAAAAUAGCAAUAUAAAUCAAGGUAUAAAUUAAGGCAGCAGUUUUCCCCAAAAGACAAGUUUUUUAUUGAAUUGUUAUUUAUCUUAGGAAGACAAAUGCCAAGACAGUAACAACAGGGAGCACGGAUUCUGGAUUUCUAGUUGCAGUGAAAGUUUGUGAUUCCCUUUGGGGAUGAAGGUGCCCCACAGAGUCAGUGUGAUUUGGGGAAUGGCAGGGUACGAGGAGCUGAGCCCCAGCUCCUGAAUUCUCCCUUCUCAGGGCCAAA
rnacentral:lncRNA from 1 species